rnacentral:rRNA from 1 species
AGCGAACGCUGGCGGCAGGCUUAACACAUGCAAGUCGAACGGGCGUAGCAAUACGUCAGUGGCAGACGGGUGAGUAACGCGUGGGAACGUACCUUUUGGUUCGGAACAACCCAGGGAAACUUGGGCUAAUACCGGAUAAGCCCUUACGGGGAAAGAUUUAUCGCCGAAAGAUCGGCCCGCGUCUGAUUAGCUAGUUGGUGUGGUAACGGCGCACCAAGGCGACGAUCAGUAGCUGGUCUGAGAGGANGAUCAGCCACACUGGGACUGAGACACGGCCCAGACUCCUACGGGAGGCAGCAGUGGGGAAUUUUGGACAAUGGGGGCAACCCUGAUCCAGCCAUGCCGCGUGC